rnacentral:lncRNA from 1 species
GGGCCAUUGAGAAUGCUCAUUUUUGGCUUUGCAAGAUACAAGUUAGUUUUUCAAAGUAGGCACAUAAGAAAACAUUCCCAACAGACUCUGGUGGAAAAAAAAUAUAUAUAUACACAUAUAUUUGCUUAAAAAAUGAAUUAUUUGUAUUCAAAAGGAGAAGAAACUUUCUUCUGGCAUUUUUGGAGGUGAUCUCUGCACACGCUGGCUCCAUUUUGCCUUCCAUCAUGAGUAGAAGCAGCCCAAGGCCUUCACCACAUUUCCUAUCUUGAACCUUCCAGCAAGAAGAAUCAUGAACCAAAUAAACUGCUUUUCUUUAUAAACUAUUCAGCUUCAUGUAUUCCUUUACAGCAACACUAAAUGGACUAAGACAAAUUGAUAAAGAAAAUGUGAUAUCUAUACAUCUCUCUGUCUAUAAAGAUAAGAUACCAAUUACAAUGGAACAUUGUUCAGCCAUAAAAAGAAGAAAAUUCUGGAAUUUCAGAUGUCAUGGAUGAAUCUGGAGGAAAUUAUGCAAAGAAAAAUAAGCUAGACACAGAAAGACAAAUACUAUAUAAUCUCACUUAUACGUGGAAUCUGAAAAGUUGAACUCGGAAGCAGAGACUGAAUGGUAGUUGCCAGGGGCUGGGAGCAGGGAGAAGAGAAUUGAAAGAAGGAAACGGGAGAUAUUGGUCAAAGAGACAAACAUUCAGUUAUAAGGUGAAUAAGUUCUGGAGAUCUAAUAUAUAUAGCAUGGUAACGAUCAUUAAUUAUACCAUAUUGUAUACUUGAAAUUUGCUGAAAGUAAAUCUUAAGGGUUCUCAACAAAUACAUACAAAAAAAAGAUCACCUUACAUUACUAUGAAAGAUGAUGGAUGUGUUAACUAGCUUGAUUUUGGUAAUCAUUUCACACUGUAUAUGUAUAUCAAGUCAUGUUAUACACCUUAAAUAUAUACCGUUUUGUAUGUGGAUUACCUCAAUAAAGCUGUGGGGUGAGGAAAGAUUUGAAAAAUAUAA